AACGAACGCUGGCGGCAUGCCUAACACAUGCAAGUCGAACGAAGCCUUCGGGCUUAGUGGCGCACGGGUGCGUAACGCGUGGGAAUCUGCCCUUAGGUACGGAAUAACUCAUGGAAACGUGUGCUAAUACCGUAUGAUGUCUUCGGACCAAAGAUUUAUCGCCUAGGGAUGAGCCCGCGUUGGAUUAGCUAGUUGGUGAGGUAAAGGCUCACCAAGGCGACGAUCCAUAGCUGGUCUGAGAGGAUGAUCAGCCACACUGGGACUGAGACACGGCCCAGACUCCUACGGGAGGCAGCAGUGGGGAAUAUUGGACAAUGGGCGAAAGCCUGAUCCAGCAAUGCCGCGUGAGUGAAGAAGGCCUUCGGGUUGUAAAGCUCUUUCGGCCGGGAAAAAUCGCAUCAGUUAAUACCUGGUGUGGAUGAUGGUACCGGAAUAAGAAGCACCGGCUAACUACGUG
rnacentral:rRNA from 1 species